UGAGGAAUAUUGGGCAAUGGGCGAAAGCCUGACCCAGCAACGCCGCGUGAGGGAAGAAGGUUCUCGGAUUGUAAACCUCUGUCCCAUGGGAAGAAACAAAUGACGGUACCAUGGGAGGAAGCCCCGGCUAACUACGUGCCAGCAGCCGCGGUAAUACGUAGGGGGCAAGCGUUGUCCGGAAUUAUUGGGCGUAAAGGGUGCGUAGGCGGCCUUUCAAGUUGGAUGUGAAAUCCCCGUGCUUAACAUGGGAAUUGCAUUCAAAACUGGAGGGCUUGAGUGUGGAAGAGGUAAGUGGAAUUCCCAGUGUAGCGGUGAAAUGCGUAGAUAUUGGGAGGAACACCUGUGGCGAAGGCGACUUACUGGGCCACAACUGACGCUGAGGCACGAAAGCGUGGGGAGCAAACA
rnacentral:rRNA from 1 species